GACGAAGGAUCCAAGCGUUGUCCGGAUUUACUGGGUUUAAAGGGUGCGUAGGCGGAAAAUUAAGUCAGUGGUGAAAGCCCGCAGCUCAACUGUGGAACUGCCAUUGAAAACUGGUUUUCUUGAAUAUAGCUGAGGCAGAUGGAAUAUAACAUGUAGCGGUGAAAUGCUUAGAAUAUGUUAUAGAAACACCGAUUGCGAAGGCAGUCUGCUAAACUAUUAUUGACGCUGAGGCACGAAAGCGUGGGGAGCGAACAGG
rnacentral:rRNA from 1 species